UACGUAGGGCGCAAGCGUUGUCCGGAAUUAUUGGGCGUAAAGAGCUCGUAGGCGGCCAGUUGCGUCCGCUGUGAAAUCCCGGGGCUUAACCCCGGGCGUGCAGUGGAUACGGGCUGGCUAGAGGCAGGCAGGGGAGAACGGAAUUCCCGGUGUAGCAGUGAAAUGCGUAGAGAUGUGGAGGAACACCGAUGGCGAAGGCAGCCCCCUGGGUCAAGAUUGACGCUCAUGCACGAAAGCGUGGGGAGCAAACAGG
rnacentral:rRNA from 1 species